rnacentral:rRNA from 1 species
ACAAGUACCGUGAGGGAAAGUUGAAAACAACUCUGGAGAGAGAGUUAAAAGAGCGUGAAACCGGUGGGGUGGAAACGGAUGGAGCCGACGAAUAUGACCUGCUCUAGUGGUGUGAAGCUGGCUCUGGCUGGUGGAUCGCUGCGAUUGUGUGGGUGCAGUGCGCUGAGGCGCGUGGUUGUCCGGUUUAAUGGUUGGGUUCAUAGCGGACUUCGCCUUCGGGUGUCGUUGCUUCUCUUCCGGCGGACUGUGGCGGCUGCGUUUUUUUCGUGAGUGUGUGAUGCUGGUCUCUAGUUUGUUGCUCUCUAUGGACGCUUGCGUUCGUUACUUGCUUCAUUCUUGGGAUUGGGGUUGCACCUUGCGCUACUCGGUGUCAAGUCGGUCACCCAUCCGACCCGUCUUGAAACACGGACCAAGGAGUUUACCGCAUUCGCGAGUCAUUGAGUUCUUGUAAGCUCAUAGGCGCAACGAAAGUGAAUAGUGUGCGGCCCGUGCGGCCCGGCCAAUCGGAGCAGCAUAGCCCUGUGGUUGCUUGCGAUCGCAGAGGAGGAGCGAAUGCGAUGAGACCCGAAAGAUGGUGAACUAUGCCUGAGCAGGUUGAAGGGAAGGGAAACUUUCCUGGAGGACCGGAGCGAUUCUGACGUGCAACUCGAUCGUCUGACUUGGGUAUAGGGGCGAAAGACUAAUCGAACCAUCUAGUAGCUGGUUCC